GAUGAACGCUGACAGAAUGCUUAACACAUGCAAGUCUUUGGCGAAGCUGUGCUUGCACAGCCUAGCCAAGGCGGACGGGUGAGUAACGCGUAAGGAACUUGCCCUGCAGUCAGGGAUAACAGACGGAAACGACUGAUAAGACCUGGUAAAGUCAGGCGGACUCAUGUCCAGCCUGAUGAAAAGAGAUGCUGCAGGAGAGCCUUGCGUCCUAUUAGCUUGUUGGUGGGGUAACGGCCCACCAAGGCGAUGAUAGGUAGCCGGCCUGAGAGGGUGGACGGCCACAGGGGGACGGAGAGCCGCCCUUUGCACCAGGGGGAGACGGAGGUGGGAAUUAUGGAACAAUGGGGCAAACCUGAUGACAGAAUUUGUGUGGGAAAAAUGAGGGUUUUGGGAUUAAAAAUUGUUUAAGGAAGGAAAAAAAAAUUGACGGUACCUAAAAAGAAAGCAACGGCUAAAUACGUG
rnacentral:rRNA from 1 species